GAUGAACGCUGGCGGCGUGCCUAAUACAUGCAAGUCGAGCGAAGCGGGGACGGGUGUGUAACACGUGGAUAACCUCCUAUAAGACUGGGAUAACUUCGGGAAACCGGAGCUAUAUCGGAUACUUAUAGUUGGAUCCGCGCUGGAUUAGCUAGUGGGUAAGGUAAGGGCUUACAAAGGCAACGAUGCAUAGCCGACCUGAGAGGGGAAUCGGCCACAUGGGACUGGGGAACCGGCCCAGACUCCUACGGGAGGAAGCAGUGGGGAAUAUUGCACAAUGGGCGAAAGCCUGAUGCGGACAUGCCGCGGGUAUGAGGAAGGCCUUAGGGCUGAAAAGUACUUUCAGCGGGGAGGCGUUACCCGCAGAAGAAGCACCGGCUAACUCCGUGCCAGCAGCCGCGGUAAUUC
rnacentral:rRNA from 1 species